rnacentral:tRNA from 1 species
AAGUAAAAAGUAAAAAUUACAUUUAGUUUCGACCUAAAAUUAGGGAAAUAUAACCCUUUACUUA